rnacentral:lncRNA from 1 species
UUACCAAGUCGAAUUCACGUGUUGAAUACGUGAGGAGAACUAUAUCUCCCUAUGAUCAUCAUCCCGGAACACUCAUCUCUCAGCAGCUGUUACGAGGAUCAAACUACGAUGAGUGGUCUGUUAAUAUGCGAUUGGCUCUUCAAGCCCAAAUGAAAGUUGGCUUCGCAUAUGACUCCAUCCGCAUCCGGAGCAGUAUUCGGAAUACUAUGAAGAUUGUUGAGCAAACAGUGCGUUUGUGAUACCGUGGAUUAAACUCACAAUAGCGGAGACACUACGCUCCACCAUACCACACAGUAAUGAUGCACACGAGCUGUGGCUCUAUGUACAAUGAUGUUUCUGGCUAUGAAGCAUGGGGACGGGUAUUUAGUUUCAGUAUUGUCUAAUUUUAGGCAGCUAUAUGAUAUGAUUUUUAUGUUUAUUACUAAUAUAUGUGCCUUACCCGUAUCUGUAAGUUUUUGGUUUUGCUCCCGUCCCCGUAUCCGUCUCUGUGCAACAUAGGUUUCUGGUGAAGAACGGACAGCAUGUAAAACGUCUCAAAACAGAGCUUGUGAACUGCUGUCAGAAAGGCAUGGUGAUUGAGGCAUACUAGGGGAAAAGUUUUGGUCGAGUUUAUCAGACUCUCAACGAGCUAAAACACCAGCAGAAAUACAAAAGGAACGUGAAGAGAAUAAGCUGAUCCAUCAGUUUCUUAUGGGCUUAGAUAUAUAUCUGUUUUUGGAGCAGUAGUGAAAUCAAUUUUUCUCUCUCUCUCUCUCUCGUGAUCAACUACCUACUCUUGAUGAAGCAUAUAAUGUUUUUACUCAGGAAGAAGAAUCAAAGCUAGCUGCCCGAAUGAAUGAAGAAAAAUUGAGGGACAGAUGAAGCAUAUAGUAUGGCAUAUUAGUAUAGUUAUAUGUAAAUUAUAUAAUACAAUUGAUAAUAUAUAUCCAUAAUUUAUUUUUUUUGUAUGAUCUUAAUACCCAAAUGUUUUAAUUUAAUAUUUAAGUUGUUUUUUUUAUUAAAUAAUUUGGCAGAUUAAAAUUUCUCUAAAAUAAAAUUUUACAAUACAAUGUGUAAAUUAAAAUUCAUUGGUGUAUUUGGCAGAUUUCUAUGCUAAAUCCUAAUUAUUACUUUUCUUAAAUUUAUUUUAGAGAUAUUAUCACAAUUUUAAUUUUUUUAAUAACCAUCUUAAUAAUUAAAUAAAAUUGGAAAACGUUCUAUUUAAAACUAUAUUACUGAAAAUAUUAUUUAUAUUUCAAAAAAUCAGAUUUCUAAUCAUAUAAAAUAAAAUUUUAAAAAAUGUUAUAAGAAUAGAUAUAGUUACGAUUUGUAGUAUACAUCCGAAUUAAACAAAACCUUAAGAUAUCCAAAUCAAACCAAAGUAAAUAAGUUUUAGUAUGUAGUUAUUUCUUAUAAAUCGAAAUACUAAGAAAACCAAAGAAAAUGAAUCGAAAUUCAAAUUAAACACCCUUAGUUUUUAAUGGUUCUUACAAUAACUGUUUUUUAAUAGAGAAGAUAAUGUAAGGUACAUGGAUUGAUUAAUGUUAGAAAGUUGCUAUGAUGGUCCACUGUCGUUUUCGGACGUAUUGUAAAAGAUAUAGAGUACCUCGUGGCCAUCUUGGUGUGAGUACAAAUGCGUCAGUAUAUAGAGUCAAGUCAAUUACUGACUUGGGACCAUAUGUUUUGUUUCCAUGCUCUCUGUAGAAACGUUCUCAGACUUCUCCCUCAGUGAAAGCUUCUUGAGAUCUUCAUAUGUUCAUAUACAAAUCGUAGAAUUAUGUAGUUGAAUCUUGAAAACCGAAUUCUCUAACGAGAGAAAGUAUUUUAAUCUUACUGUAAUUGCUGAAAUGUGUACGUGUCGAGAAAACUAGCUAGUUCUCAUAUAAGGUUUUCUUGUGGUGAUGUUUACGUCAAUGACCUAAAUAUAUAUGUACAAAAGUUUGUAAUUUAUAUCUUAAUGACAAAGUAAAUGCUAAGAUGCAUAUGAACACAAUCGACACUAGGAGAUAUACACGAACAUAUGGAAUAUAGCUGUAACAUCUCCUCCUCCCUCACUUUCAAGUUAAAGCAUUGUUUUGCUAAGUUUCAAGUUAAAGCAUGCAUAUCAGUAUAUCACAAAUUUCCAUCAUAUCAAGAAAUGUCUCAAUUCGCGAUUUUUAAGAGAUAUCGCCCAGCUGAGACUGAGCAGAGAUAUGAUGAGUUGUAAUAGUUUUUGUUUUCAUCAUGCUUCUCAUGUGUGAGCUUAUAUGUCUCUCGAGACUUAGUUGUAGUCCACCGGCUCUGUUUCUCCGGGAUUACCUUAAUCGCCAACCUUUGCAUCAAUUUUCUGAUUUAUAUCAUAUCCUUUCAGUGAAAAAAGGUUUUGCAAAAUGAAAAAAGAUUGUUUGUUUCUUUCAGACAUAAAAUUGCGUAGUGUCCCGAGUAUGUAUGUUGACCCAAUAAUGAAGCGCUGUAGUAAACAGUGAUAGGUGGUUAGAGUAAGGAUAGACAUGUGUUUCUUGAUUCUUAUUUCGAAGAAAGAUAUUUACGUUGUAACAACUUCCAAGUCGACACAGGUACACACACACACUGAUCUUUUUCAAUUGUCUCUUUCUGCAACGUAGCUAUCACAUAUGUAUCACAUACAUGUGAUCGCUAAUUUUUCACUGAUUUUUUCUCUUUCUUUUAAAAUUUGACCCACAAUUUUCUUAUCAACUUCAAGUCCCUUACUCAUAUAAUGAAAUCGCAGAUGCAUAGUUUUUGGAGCAAGCGAAGUUCUAGGCGGGCUUGUGUCGAUGUCUCCGCUAGUUUCAAAUAUAAUUAUAUGUUUGCGUUCAUAUGAAAAAAUAAAAUAAAAACUCACAUUUUCGAAAUAAUUAAAAUUACUAUUUUACAAUAUAUUCUUUACGUUUAUAUUUAUCUUUUCUUUUCUUUUUUUCGACAACCGUUGAUCCUUUCUUUCACAUCAUCAAGAACAUCUUCAAUCUCCGGUUGAAUAUUUAGCAUGGUUUUCUAACGAUUGAAAGAAUAAAAGCGAUUAAGAAAAAGCUAGAAAGAGGUUUUAACACAUAAGUUUGAAAAGCUCAAAGAAAAUUGUUUUAAAACAAUAUUUUCUAAAAUAUAGUUUAUAUUUUCUGUACAUUUUUAUUAAGUAAUAAUGAUAAAUUUUAAACUUUGAUUAUAUUUUUAUUUCAUAUUCCUAAAAAUUAGUAAUGAUGCACACGAGCUGUGGCUCUAUGUACAAUGAUGUUUCUGGCUAUGAAGCAUGGGGACGGGUAUUUAGUUUCAGUAUUGUCUAAUUUUAGGCAGCUAUAUGAUAUGAUUUUUAUGUUUAUUACUAAUAUAUGUGCCUUACCCGUAUCUGUAAGUUUUUGGUUUUGCUCCCGUCCCCGUAUCCGUCUCUGUGCAACAUAGGUUUCUGGUGAAGAACGGACAGCAUGUAAAACGUCUCAAAACAGAGCUUGUGAACUGCUGUCAGAAAGGCAUGGUGAUUGAGGCAUACUAGGGGAAAAGUUUUGGUCGAGUUUAUCAGACUCUCAACGAGCUAAAACACCAGCAGAAAUACAAAAGGAACGUGAAGAGAAUAAGCUGAUCCAUCAGUUUCUUAUGGGCUUAGAUAUAUAUCUGUUUUUGGAGCAGUAGUGAAAUCAAUUUUUCUCUCUCUCUCUCUCUCGUGAUCAACUACCUACUCUUGAUGAAGCAUAUAAUGUUUUUACUCAGGAAGAAGAAUCAAAGCUAGCUGCCCGAAUGAAUGAAGAAAAAUUGAGGGACAGAUGAAGCAUAUAGUAUGGCAUAUUAGUAUAGUUAUAUGUAAAUUAUAUAAUACAAUUGAUAAUAUAUAUCCAUAAUUUAUUUUUUUUGUAUGAUCUUAAUACCCAAAUGUUUUAAUUUAAUAUUUAAGUUGUUUUUUUUAUUAAAUAAUUUGGCAGAUUAAAAUUUCUCUAAAAUAAAAUUUUACAAUACAAUGUG